UGAAAGUCUGCCUCGGAAUUUGGAAAAUCAACAACUGUUUUAGUUAAGACAGAUUGUGCCUUUGUCUCUUCAUGAGAGCUGUCUUUCGAACGACAAUCUCAUGAAUCUGAAGAGCAGAUGGAAUGGCAAAACCAUGCCGUUAUUGUAUAAACUUUAGUGCAAUUAGCAAAAAGGAGUGGUAUAUUUUCAUAUCUGUUGCACUUUGUAUCUUCCUUUUUGUGACCGUGGUUUACGAUGUUAUCAACUAUGCCAUUACAGAAACAACUGAAUACACGACCCAGCCAUUGUCUGUAGCAGUAUUGUGUCUUCAUAUAGUAGCGUGUUACAGUUCCCUGCUAGGCCUUGUUUACGUUACUCAAAAAGGAAUUCGUGGCAACUUGCCAAGAUAUGGCAUUGCAGCAAUAUUGGCCAAUUUCCUAAUUUACACGGCACGAUUUACAGUGGAUAUUCUCUACCUUCACUACAGACCAGAAGAGUAUAGCAAGGCUUCGGCCCAAGCUGAGGUUCCCCAAGCAUGACGUAUGGGUACCAAGCCAACAGAAAAGAAAUCAAAAGCAUUCAAAUUCGAAGAUGCCACAUUUCCAGGAAAAUCUAAUGGCAACACUUUAAAAAUUGAACAGUUGAUGGUAGUAUCAACUUAUGAUGCAGGACAUCAGUAGAACAAUCAAAUUCACCUAAUCUAUAUAACAUAUAAUAUUUUGUAA